GCUACGUUUCUUUCCGCUGAGACUUGAGAGGCCAGGGAGCAGAGGCGGCCAGCCGAGUGGGCGAGAGCCCGGCCUGACGUGGGGAGGAGACGUCUUCUCGUCGGGAGGCUAGGUAGCGUGCGCCCUCUUCCCUCCCGUCCUCUCCCCGCGCCGCGCCGCGCCGGCCGCAGCCGGCAGGCUCGCUCCUCUGCCCGGUGUCUGUUUAACCCUCAACCCCUCCGCGGCAGCUGCGGGCAGAGGGAUUCCUGGCCGCGCUAAUCCUGGGGCUGGACCCCAACCCUGGUCGCCUGGAGCGCCCUUAGCCCUCCCGAACCUCGGGCCCGAAGGUCCCAGGGUGCCGGCACUCCCGCCACCCAAACGGGCCUGGGGGCCGUCAGGGGUCGACAGAAGGGGACCCUUGGCAAGGUCCCCAUUGUUCCCCCGGGGCUGGGAAGCUGACUCACGCUCUGAGCACAGAGCGAUGCGGAGUGUUUUCUCGGUAGCCUUUACCCGAGUGCUUUAUUUAGACAGGCUUUAUUUACAGUACACAUGUUUUCGGCUCGUUAUUCUGGAGGCGGGAAUGGAAACUGGGCAGAGCAGGAGUUCUCCCCGUCAGCCUCACGUUUGGAAGGAGUUGAGAGUCAGCCGAGUCGAAGGAUCCCGCUCCUGCUUGCUGUGUUCUCUAGGGAGAUAAUGUCGAAGAAAACAGUGAAGGGGUGGGAGUGGAGGGCGCUGGGGAACACAGAGCGUCAGCCUCUCCCAUAGUGCCCACGCUUCAAAAUGCAUAACACCCAGAGGAAGGUGAGACAUCCUCAUGCCCAUUUUAGAGGGUUCAGAGAGGGCAAGGGCCGCAGAAGGUCACACAGACAACAAUCGGUUGUGCGAAAAGGGUCUUUAACUCCAUUUCUUGGGCUUCCUCACGGGUUUAGACCUCCAGGAUUACCCAGGUCUUGG
rnacentral:lncRNA from 1 species